GCGACCCCAGGUCAGACGGGACUACCCGCUGAGUUUAAGCAUAUC
rnacentral:rRNA from 1 species